rnacentral:rRNA from 1 species
UACGAGGGGGGCGAGCGUUGUUCGGAAUUAUUGGGCGUAAAGGGUGCGUAGGCGGUUCGGUAAGUUUCGUGUGAAAUCUUCGGGCUCAACUCGAAGUCUGCACGAAAUACUGCCGGGCUUGAGUGUGGGAGAGGUGAGUGGAAUUUCCGGUGUAGCGGUGAAAUGCGUAGAUAUCGGAAGGAACACCUGUGGCGAAGGCGGCCAUCUGGGACAACACUGACGCUGAAGCACGAAAGCGUGGGGAGCAAACAGG